CUUCGAUGUGACAGCGGUUGGCAGAUGGCGGUCGACUCCCUUCUCUAGUAACUGGUUCUUUUUCUCCAGUGGGAGGCUUGCGGCUAAGGUUUGAAUUCAGUGUGAUGCAAAAUAUUUAUACCCAUCUCGCAUUAAUCUGGGCCGUUCAUCGCAUUUGAUCUCGACUGUCUAAUUGGGUUUUAAAAAAAUAAAUAUGGACCAUUCAUUGCAAUUUGAUCUCGAUCGUCCAAUUGCAUUUAAAGGGAGAACAAAUCUAGGUUGUCUACGCACGGGGGAUCGAUCCUGGGUCAUUCGAUCGCGGGGCAUACGGAUCGCCCGCGUGGCAUCGACGUCAGCAUUCCUGGCCACACAGCCUACUCCAGUUCGUCGGGGUAGCUGACUGGGCGGUCCUACGUAGCAAAAUUUUUUUAAUUUGCACUUUGAUCCUCAAUUUCU
rnacentral:lncRNA from 1 species